AUUUACAUAUUCAUUGAUUCAUUGAUUUUCAACAUAGUAUCAAAUUACUACAACAUAACAAACUACCAAUGAACCAAACUCUUUCUGGAUUUUGUUAAUGGAAAAUCAGUAGACCGCUAAUUAUUCCGACAAACAUUGGUUUUCAUGACAAGACAUGCUAAAUGUAUACUCUCCCAAACAAAGAAGAUACAUUUUUUUCAUUUUUAUAUAAGAAACAAGAUUAUAAGAAACAUGACGCUGAGACAGAAUAUGGUUGCGAAUAUACCGAAGAACUCAUUGCUGAAUAAACUCAACUUAUUGCAGAAAAUAUGGAAGACAAGCCAGAGAGUUUGCACACCAUAAAUAUUCACAUACAUCUAUCCUGCAGCAUAAAAACAUUUACAACAAAAUU